AGCGAACGCUGGCGGCGUGCUUAACACAUGCAAGUCGUGGGAGAACGGGAACCUUCGGGUUCCUCAGUAAACCGGCGCACGGGUGAGUAACACGUAGGUAACCUACCUUAGAGACUGGGAUAACUCAUCGAAAGAUGGGCUAAUACCGGAUAUGACCACGGGAGUGACGGCUCCUGGGGUGAAAGAUGGCCUCUUCCUGAAAGCUAUCACUCUGAGAUGGGCCUGCGCAUCAUUAGCUUGUGUGGGUAAAGCCUACCAAGGCGACGAUGAUUAGCUGGUCUGAGAGGAUGAUCAGCCACACUGGACUGAGACACGGCCCAGACUCCUACGGGAGGCAGCAGUGGGGAAUAUUGCGCAAUGGGGGAAACCCUGACGCAGCGACGCCGCGUGAGUGAUGAAGGCCCUCGGGUCGU
rnacentral:rRNA from 1 species